rnacentral:rRNA from 1 species
CUGUGAGCUCGAUGAGUAGGGCGGGACACGUGGUAUCCUGUCUGAAUAUGGGGGGACCAUCCUCCAAGGCUAAAUACUCCUGACUGACCGAUAGUGAACCAGUACCGUGAGGGAAAGGCGAAAAGAACCCCGGCGAGGGGAGUGAAAAAGAACCUGAAACCGUGUACGUACAAGCAGUGGGAGCACAGAGCAAUCUGUGUGACUGCGUACCUUUUGUAUAAUGGGUCAGCGACUUAUAUUCUGUAGCAAGGUUAACCGAAUAGGGGAGCCGAAGGGAAACCGAGUCUUAACUGGGCGUUAAGUUGCAGGGUAUAGACCCGAAACCCGGUGAUCUAGCCAUGGGCAGGUUGAAGGUUGGGUAACACUAACUGGAGGACCGAACCGACUAAUGUUGAAAAAUUAGCGGAUGACUUGUGGCUGGGGGUGAAAGGCCAAUCAAACCGGGAGAUAGCUGGUUCUCCCCGAAAGCUAUUUAGGUAGCGCCUCGUGAAUUCAUCUCCGGGGGUAGAGCACUGUUUCGGCAAGGGGGUCAUCCCGACUUACCAACCCGAUGCAAACUGCGAAUACCGGAGAAUGUUAUCACGGGAGACACACGGCGGGUGCUAACGUCCGUCGUGAAGAGGGAAACAACCCAGACCGCCAGCUAAGGUCCCAAAGUCAUGGUUAAGUGGGAAACGAUGUGGGAAGGCCCAGACAGCCAGGAUGUUGGCUUAGAAGCAGCCAUCAUUUAAAGAAAGCGUAAUAGCUCACUGGUCGAGUCGGCCUGCGCGGAAGAUGUAACGGGGCUAAACCAUGCACCGAAGCUGCGGCAGCGACACUAUGUGUUGUUGGGUAGGGGAGCGUUCUGUAAGCCUGCGAAGGUGUGCUGUGAGGCAUGCUGGAGGUAUCAGAAGUGCGAAUGCUGACAUAAGUAACGAUAAAGCGGGUGAAAAGCCCGCUCGCCGGAAGACCAAGGGUUCCUGUCCAACGUUAAUCGGGGCAGGGUGAGUCGACCCCUAAGGCGAGGCCGAAAGGCGUAGUCGAUGGGAAACAGGUUAAUAUUCCUGUACUUGGUGUUACUGCGAAGGGGGGACGGAGAAGGCUAUGUUGGCCGGGCGACGGUUGUCCCGGUUUAAGCGUGUAGGCUGGUUUUCCAGGCAAAUCCGGAAAAUCAAGGCUGAGGCGUGAUGACGAGGCACUACGGUGCUGAAGCAACAAAUGCCCUGCUUCCAGGAAAAGCCUCUAAGCAUCAGGUAACAUCAAAUCGUACCCCAAACCGACACAGGUGGUCAGGUAGAGAAUACCAAGGCGCUUGAGAGAACUCGGGUGAAGGAACUAGGCAAAAUGGUGCCGUAACUUCGGGAGAAGGCACGCUGAUAUGUAGGUGAAGCGACUUGCUCGUGGAGCUGAAAUCAGUCGAAGAUACCAGCUGGCUGCAACUGUUUAUUAAAAACACAGCACUGUGCAAACACGAAAGUGGACGUAUACGGUGUGACGCCUGCCCGGUGCCGGAAGGUUAAUUGAUGGGGUCAGCGCAAGCGAAGCUCUUGAUCGAAGCCCCGGUAAACGGCGGCCGUAACUAUAACGGUCCUAAGGUAGCGAAAUUCCUUGUCGGGUAAGUUCCGACCUGCACGAAUGGCGUAAUGAUGGCCAGGCUGUCUCCACCCGAGACUCAGUGAAAUUGAACUCGCUGUGAAGAUGCAGUGUACCCGCGGCAAGACGGAAAGACCCCGUGAACCUUUACUAUAGCUUGACACUGAACAUUGAGCCUUGAUGUGUAGGAUAGGUGGGAGGCUUGGAAGUGUGGACGCCAGUCUGCAUGGAGCCGACCUUGAAAUACCACCCUUUAAUGUUUGAUGUUCUAACGUUGACCCGUGAUCCGGGUUGCGGACAGUGUCUGGUGGGUAGUUUGACUGGGGCGGUCUCCUCCUAAAGAGUAACGGAGGAGCACGAAGGUUGGCUAAUCCUGGUCGGACAUCAGGAGGUUAGUGCAAUGGCAUAAGCCAGCUUGACUGCGAGCGUGACGGCGCGAGCAGGUGCGAAAGCAGGUCAUAGUGAUCCGGUGGUUCUGAAUGGAAGGGCCAUCGCUCAACGGAUAAAAGGUACUCCGGGGAUAACAGGCUGAUACCGCCCAAGAGUUCAUAUCGACGGCGGUGUUUGGCACCUCGAUGUCGGCUCAUCACAUCCUGGGGCUGAAGUAGGUCCCAAGGGUAUGGCUGUUCGCCAUUUAAAGUGGUACGCGAGCUGGGUUUAGAACGUCGUGAGACAGUUCGGUCCCUAUCUGCCGUGGGCGCUGGAGAACUGAGGGGGGCUGCUCCUAGUACGAGAGGACCGGAGUGGACGCAUCACUGGUGUUCGGGUUGUCAUGCCAAUGGCACUGCCCGGUAGCUAAAUGCGGAAGAGAUAAGUGCUGAAAGCAUCUAAGCACGAAACUUGCCCCGAGAUGAGUUCUCCCUGACUCCUUGAGAGUCCUGAAGGAACGUUGAAGACGACGACGUUGAUAGGCCGGGUGUGUAAGCGCAGCGAUGCGUUGAGCUAACCGGUACUAAUGAACCGUGAGGCUUAACCUUACAACGCCGAAGCUGUU